GAUCCAGCUUGCUCAUCAGUGGUGGUGCUCCAGACAGUUGUCAUUUUGGGGGUGUUUGUGAGAGGAGGGGAGCUGAGGCUCUGAGGAUCCCCUAUCAGCUUUUCUUUUCAAACACAGUGUCAUUUUUCUUUUGAAGACGUAGCAUUGUCUUGUUGCCAUGGUCAGCUUCUAUGCAGAGACCCGUGUGUUUAGUGAAGUUUGCUUGCAUCUCCUGUCACCCCAUGUGGCUUAUGGUGCCUCCCAUCUUCAUGACGUGAAACAAGCCGGGACGCCUCUGUGGGUGAGUGACUCCUUGUACAGUGAUAGGGUUCAAAAGUGGGUUAGUCGCUGAAGUGGUUAUAGCCCUGUUACUCAACGAAGAGACAUGAAGUGUCCACCCACAUCACUAGGGGCUCCCUGUGAGACUC
rnacentral:lncRNA from 1 species